rnacentral:rRNA from 1 species
GACGAACGCUGGCGGCGUGCCUAAUACAUGCAAGUAGAACGCUGAAGAGAGGAGCUUGCUCUUCUUGGAUGAGUUGCGAACGGGUGAGUAACGCGUAGGUAACCUGCCUUGUAGCGGGGGAUAACUAUUGGAAACGAUAGCUAAUACCGCAUAACACUGGAUGACACAUGUCAUUUAUUUGAAAGGGGCAAUUGCUCCACUACAAGAUGGACCUGCGUUGUCUUAGCUAGUAGGUGAGGUAAUGGCUCACCUAGGCGACGAUACAUAGCCGACCUGAGAGGGUGAUCGGCCACACUGGGACUGAGACACGGCCCAGACUCCUACGGGAGGCAGCAGUAGGGAAUCUUCGGCAAUGGGGGCAACCCUGACCGAGCAACGCCGCGUGAGUGAAGAAGGUUUUCGGAUCGUAAAGCUCUGUUGUAAGUCAAGAACGGGUGUGAGAGUGGAAAGUUCACACUGUGACGGUAGCUUACCAGAAAGGGACGGCUAACUACGUG